rnacentral:rRNA from 1 species
AUUGAACGCUGGCGGCAUGCCUAACACAUGCAAGUCGAACGAGUGGCGGACGGGUGAGCAAUGUCUGGGAAACUGCCUGAUGGAGGGGGAUAACUACUGGAAACGGUAGCUAAUACCGCAUACCAUCGGAUGUGCCCAGAUGGGAUUAGCUCGUUGGUGUGGUAACGGCUCACCAAGGCGACGAUCCCUAGCUGGUCUGAAAGGAUGACCAGCCACACUGUAACUGAGACACGGUCCAGACUCCUACGGGAGGCAGCAGUGGGGAAGAUUGCACAAGGGGCGCAAGCCUGAUGCAGCCAUGCCGCGUGUGUGAAGAAGGCCGUCGGAUUGUAAAGUACUUUCAGCGGGGAGGCGUUACCCGCAGAAGAAGCACCGGCUAACUCCGUGCCAGCAGCCGCGGUAAUAC